UACCUCUUUGCUUUCCCCUGGGAAGAUUACAAGUUUACUUGGACAAUAACGUCCCAGGUAUAUACAGGCGACUUCCACCUACUGUCUUAGAUAAUAAAAACUGACUUAGAUUAUGUUAAAUUUCCUAGAGAUUGCCCUCUAAACCAGUAUGUGAGUAACUCAGUUUAUAUUCUAGGAAAUUACUAGAAUCCCAAAAGAACAUGAUAGAAUAUCAAAGGAAAAGCUCUGAUUCUGUUUACCCCAGGUAAAAUAUUUUGGUUAUCUGAUGUAUAAGGAUGAGCUACUAAUUAACCCUGAGAUACUCAAAGGAAUCCUAUUUUUCCUCUUCCAAAAAUAAGAAAGCAACUUAGAGGAUUCCUGGGUUUGACUGGACAUUGUCACAGCUGGAUUCUAAAUUUUUAUUAAUGGCCCAGCCUCUAAUGUUAAAAUCAAAUUGACCUGACCACUUCCUUGUUCCUAGGAAUGAUUUAUAGGAAACUCCUUGAGAAUGCUGACUUAACUUGGUUUACAGGAGGAUCUUUGAAAAAUAAACAGGAACGCUACCAAGCUGUAUAUACAAUAACUUCCAUGGUGCACAUAACAAAGUUCUUAUUUAUCUGUAUUAGAUAUGCUCAAAAAGCCCA